rnacentral:rRNA from 1 species
UACAGAGGUCUCAAGCGUUGUUCGGAUUCAUUGGGCGUAAAGGGUGCGUAGGUGGCGCCGUAAGUCAGGUGUGAAAUUUCGGAGCUUAACUCCGAAACUGCAUUUGAUACUGCGGUGCUUGAGGACUGGAGAGGAGACGUGGAAUUUACGGUGUAGCAGUGAAAUGCGUAGAGAUCGUAAGGAAGACCAGUGGCGAAGGCGGUCUCCU